CUCGUAGGCGGUUCGUCGCGUCCGGUGUGAAAGUCCAUCGCUUAACGGCGGAUCCGCGCCGGGUACGGGCGGGCUUGAGUGCGGUAGGGGAGACUGGAAUUCCCGGUGUAACGGUGGAAUGUGUAGAUAUCGGGAAGAACACCAAUGGCGAAGGCAGGUCUCUGGGCCGUCACUGACGCUGAGGAGCGAAAGCGUGGGGAGCGAACA
rnacentral:rRNA from 1 species